AACUUUUAAUUUCAUUUUUUAUUUAAUAAUUAUUCACCAAGGAAACAGAUACAGUCAUCAGGACCAAUUACUAAAAACACAGGUCUUAAAAACAAAAGUAUGUGUACAGUCUGUGGAUAAAAAAAUGAAGUUAAAGAGAAAAUGCUGAUGAAUGUGAGGAUAUGGACUCGCAGCACAAUGAGAAAUAAAAAUAAAUGAGCACAUGAACUGCAUGUGUGUACAUUUUGCAUUUAAUAGGAAGGUAAAAUAUGUUGUCUUUGAAUAUCUUAAUUUUAAAUUACAUUUAAAUUGCUAGAAAUGUGUACACCCAGCAGUAUAUAAAAGAAGUCUGCAUUAGCUCCUCUUUAAAGUACUGCAGACUAUACAUGAAUCGCACAUAUUUUACUAAUUUAAUAACAUAAUCAUGAUGUAAGAAAAGCACCACAGCGUUACUACUUUUGCAUGUGCAAGAACUGAUACUUUAAUAUUUAUUUUAAUGCAGAUUUACUUUAGCUUGCAUAGGUUAGGUGAAAACACUUUUUCAUAAAAAAUAGAAAAAUAAAUUUUAUUGAUAUGAAUGAAUAUGAAUGCUGAAGAGAGCUUUGGUCCUUCAUGUUACAUUCUUCGCUGGCAUCCAAAUCUAGUAACUUAAGAAACGGUAAACGGGUUCAGGUUGAACCUAACAGCAGCAAGUGCUGGCCUGCUGUGGUUGAAAAAGGGAUUGAUACACAAAAUAAAAAUACAGCGAAGACAGCAGGGGGCUAGAAGCACAAAUACCAAACUGAAGAUAACAGAAUGACAUAAUUAACUCUUGCACAAAAUAUAUACAUCAUGUAAACGUCAUGUUCUCUCCAAGUAUUGAACUCUUGUAAUGAAACCAGUUAUCGUGCUUUUUGUUUAUUCACGUAUAACAACAAACAAAACAGGCCCGCACAUGGACUUCACUCCCUUGUCAGUGGCUACCUUAAAUAAGGCACGUUAGGCAGAAUUUGUUGAACGUUCAGGUUGUCACGAAUGAGGUCACAGCUUGGCGUGUCCCAAAUCUUUCACGUUCACCUCAUGAGAUAAUGUCACUCAACCACCAGUUGAUGAGUUGUUGCCUCUUCGAUGCUGACCAUCAGAUCCGCUAGCCAGGGGGGAAACGGUUCCUCCUUUGAAAUAUCCAUAAAGUUUUUGUUACAGCGUUCCCUUGGCUUCCGCACUGGCCGUUUAGAUCUUCUCGGUUUCUGCCACUUAAU
ensembl:lncRNA